CCUACGGGGGGCAGCAGUGAGGAAUAUUGGUCAAUGGACGAGAGUCUGAACCAGCCAAGUAGCGUGAAGGAUGACUGCCCUAUGGGUUGUAAACUUCUUUUAUAUGGGAAUAAAAUGUUCCACGUGUGGGAUUUUGUAUGUACCAUAUGAAUAAGGAUCGGCUAACUCCGUGCCAGCAGCCGCGGUAAUACGGAGGAUCCGAGCGUUAUCCGGAUUUAUUGGGUUUAAAGGGAGCGUAGGUGGAUUGUUAAGUCAGUUGUGAAAGUUUGCGGCUCAACCGUAAAAUUGCAGUUGAAACUGGCAGUCUUGAGUACAGUAGAGGUGGGCGGAAUUCGUGGUGUAGCGGUGAAAUGCUUAGAUAUCACGAAGAACUCCGAUUGCGAAGGCAGUUCACUGGACUGCAACUGACACUGAGGCUCGAAAGUGUGGGUAUCAAACAGGAUUAGAUACCCGAGUAAUC
rnacentral:rRNA from 1 species